rnacentral:rRNA from 1 species
GAGUUUGAUCAUGGCUCAGGAUGAACGCCGACAGAAUGCUUAACACAUGCAAGUCUACUUGAUCCUUCGGGUGAAGGUGGCGGACGGGUGAGUAACGCGUAAAGAACUUGCCUUACAGACUGGGACAACAUUUGGAAACGAAUGCUAAUACCGGAUAUUAUGAUUGGGUCGCAUGAUCUGGUUAUGAAAGCUAUAUGCGCUGUGAGAGAGCUUUGCGUCCCAUUAGUUAGUUGGUGAGGUAACGGCUCACCAAGACGAUGAUGGGUAGCCGGCCUGAGAGGGUGAACGGCCACAAGGGGACUGAGACACGGCCCUUACUCCUACGGGAGGCAGCAGUGGGGAAUAUUGGACAAUGGACCAAAAGUCUGAUCCAGCAAUUCUGUGUGCACGAUGAAGUUUUUUGGAAUGUAAAGUGCUUUCAGUUGGGAAGAAGUCAGUGACGGUACCAACAGAAGAAGCGACGGCUAAAUACGUGCCAGCAGCCGCGGUAAUACGUAUGUCGCAAGCGUUAUCCGGAUUUAUUGGGCGUAAAGCGCGUCUAGGCGGCUUAGUAAGUCUGAUGUGAAAAUGCGGGGCUCAACCCCGUAUUGCGUUGGAAACUGCUAAACUAGAGUACUGGAGAGGUAGGCGGAACUACAAGUGUAGAGGUGAAAUUCGUAGAUAUUUGUAGGAAUGCCGAUGGGGAAGCCAGCCUACUGGACAGAUACUGACGCUAAAGCGCGAAAGCGUGGGUAGCAAACAGGAUUAGAUACCCUGGUAGUCCACGCCGU